AGCUUUGCACAGUGGCAGUAUCAGAGCCAAUGAGGUUUAACCAAGGCAUGAUUAUUGCUCUUUGAAACAGAAUUCAGAAACCAAUUCAGAGCUCCACCAAUAGCUAGCAUUUCUAUAGUGUCUGCUAUUUACCAGGC
rnacentral:snRNA from 1 species